rnacentral:rRNA from 1 species
UACGUAGGGUGCGAGCGUUAAUCGGAAUUACUGGGCGUAAAGUGUGCGCAGGCGGCCGCGCAAGUCGAGUGUGAAAAGCCCCCGAGCUUAACUUGGGAAUUUGCGCUCGAAACUACGUGGCUGGAGUGUGGCAGAGGAAGGUGGAAUUCCACGUGUAGCGGUGAAAUGCGUAGAGAUGUGGAGGAACACCAAUGGCGAAGGCAGCCUUCUGGGCCAACACUGACGCUCAUGCACGAAAGCGUGGGGAGCAAACAGG